CUCUUCAGCUUAUCAAUCUAAAAUUUAGACAUAGAAGUAGGUACAAGGUCAGUGACAAGAUAAUUAACUAUAUUAGACUUGGUACUCUAAGAA